rfam:Schistosoma mansoni, Puerto Rico, WGS project CABG01000000 data, contig: 0213
AUGAAUAGUUUAGUUACUUAACAAUUAUAUAAUAGGAAAUAUACAUAUCAUAUUGGUCCAUAGAUAGUUCUCAAAGUUACCAUUCAUAAUUCUUUUCGGGAUAUAACAAUAUCUAAUGGUUUAGAUGUUUAUGAUAUAGAUCAUAAAAUUCGACAAAUUUCAGAAACUUCUAAACUAAUAAAAAUAAUAGUGAACCCAAAAUAUAUAAUGACGCAUGCACCUGGCUUCGCGCUGGACUGCAUGUACCCUGGCUUAGUGGAAAUUCACCCUAGGCUUCAGUGGUUAUUAUUUUCUUGACCGGGGUACCUAGCCUGUCGUAUGCCCUGAUGGUGUUCUCGUGACUUUCGGGUUGCCUGAUCUGCCAAGGGCGAUGGGACAGUGCAUGACAAUAUUGUUGUGUGCUAGGUUCAAAGAGAAUUGUUUGCUAUAUGCAUGCAAGUCCGCCCUGUUAUUGUUCCUAUUUCAAACCUUUUACACUGUUGAAGCGAUCCGGAUUGGCUUGCCAUUCACGGGUUUGCUGCCUGGCAUGCACCUGGCUUCGUGCUGGACUGCAUGUACGCUGGCUUAGCGGUAAAUAUCCUGAGCUGCAGCGUUAACCAUUAGUUCUAUGCAUUUGGGUAACCGAUGUAUGGGAUUAUUGGCGUACAACUUUGAGCGGUGGAUCACUCGGCUCGUGUGUCGAUGAAGAGUGCAGCCAACUGUGUGAAUUAAUGUGAACUGCAUACUGCUUUGAACAUCGACAUCUUGAACGCAUAUUGCGGCUACGGGAUAUCCUGUGGCCACGCCUGUCCGAGGGUCGGCUUUUCAUCUAUCACGACGCACAUUAAGUCGUGGAUUGGGCGAGUGCCUGCCGGCGUUUAAACCCGUAUAUCAACGCGGGUUGCUGGUCAGAGGCUCCGUCCUAAUAAUCCGGCCACAGCCUAGUCUGGUCUAGAUGACUUGAUUGAGAUGCUGCGGUGGGUUGUGCUCGAGUCGUGGCUUAAUGAUAUUAUACACGCUCGGGAUAAUUCGCACCUAUCGUAUGCUACGUUAAUCACUUGAUCUUGUCUCUGGUUUGGUCUAUGGUUUGUACCGAUUGUGUGUGUAUUAUGCACGAAUUAUUUAAUUGACCCCGACCUCGGAUCAGACGUGAUUACCCGCUGAACUUAAGCAUAUCACUAAGCGGAGGAAAAGAAACUAACAAGGAUUCCCCUAGUAACUGCGAGUGAACAGGGAUUAGCCCAACACCGAAGCCUGCGGUUAUUUGAUCGUAAGGCAAUGUGGUGUUUAGGGUGGCUUCAGGCAUUACUGCUCUGUCCCAAGUCCAGCAAUGAGUACGGCUUCCCAUUCUGGCCCAAAGAGGGUGAAAGGCCCGUGGGGGCAGAGAUCAAGUGUGACAGUUUUGCUCUGAGCUACCCUUGGAGUCGGGUUGUUUGUGAAUGCAGCCCAAAGUGGGUGGUAAACUCCAUCCAAGGCUAAAUACUUACACGAGUCCGAUAGCAAACAAGUACCGUGAGGGAAAGUUGAAAAGUACUUUGAAGAGAGAGUAAACAGUGCGUGAAACCGCUCAAAGGUAAACGGGUGGAGCUGAACUGCAAGCUCUGGGAAUUCAGCUGAUGAGUGUGAUUUGUACUUGGGCAUACUGGCCGCCUUCAGUGUCUGUUUAACCGCAGGUGCCUUCCUUUUUGGUGGGUAUGUGUGAAUCGUUUGCUUACGACGCGCGCACUGUUGGUGUGAGGGUCUGCUUGUCAGUGCACUUUCUCAGGGUGUUCACCACGACCGGCACUGCUGCCUGUCUGCUAUGGUCAAACUGAUCAGGUCUGAUUUCUGUCAGUCUUGGUUGGGUCGGUAGGUGGCUCUUUGGCUCAUUUAUGGGCCGUGAGUGUUACUAACUGGCUGUAGUGGAUCUGUGCGGUGUGUCGGAGAUGGCGGCUUCGCAUGCGUGCUUAGACCUUCGGGCAUUGCUGAGUGUGGUCGGUUUGUUACUAGCUUCGGCUGGUCGGCUGAUGGCUUGGUUUUGUCACGUCGGCGGUUGCGUGUGUGGUUUGCAUUGGGCCAAUAGUCUGUGGUGUAGUGGUAGACGAUCCACCUGACCCGUCUUGAAACACGGACCAAGGAGUUUAACAUGUGCGCGAGUCAUUGGGCGUUACGAAACCCAAAGGCGAAGUGAAGGUAAAGGUUCGGCUUGUCCGGACUAAGGUGAGAUCCUGUUGUCUUGCUCAUACUUUCCAAGUUGCGAGCAGCGGGCCCAUCACCGGCCCGUCCCAUGACGUAGACAUGUGACCUCGUGUUGUGUGCACCGUCGGGGCGGAGCAAGAGCGUACACGUUGAGACCCGAAAGAUGGUGAACUAUACUUGUGAAGGUUGAAGCCAGAGGAAACUCUGGUGGAGGACCGUAGCGAUUCUGACGUGCAAAUCGAUCGUAUAACGUGAGUAUAGGGGCGAAAGACUAAUCGAACUAACUAGUAGCUGGUUCCCUCCGAAGUUUCCCUCAGGAUAGCUGGCAUUCUGAGAAAUAAAC